rnacentral:rRNA from 1 species
AUUGAACGCUGGCGGCAGGCCUAACACAUGCAAGUCGAGCGGAUGAAGGGAGCUUGCUCCUGGAUUCAGCGGCGGACGGGUGAGUAAUGCCUAGGAAUCUGCCUGGUAGUGGGGGAUAACGUCCGGAAACGGGCGCUAAUACCGCAUACGUCCUGAGGGAGAACGUGGGGGAUCUUCGGACCUCACGCUAUCAGAUGAGCCUAGGUCGGAUUAGCUAGUUGGUGGGGUAAAGGCCUACCAAGGCGACGAUCCGUAACUGGUCUGAGAGGAUGAUCAGUCACACUGGAACUGAGACACGGUCCAGACUCCUACGGGAGGCAGCAGUAGGGAAUAUUGGACAAUGGGCGAAAGCCUGAUCCAGCCAUGCCGCGUGUGUGAAGAAGGUCUUCGGAUUGUAAAGCACUUUAAGUUGGGAGGAAGGGCAGUAAGUUAAUACCUGGCUGUUUUGACGUUACCAACAGAAUAAGCACCGGCUAACUUCGUG